UAGGGUUUGGGAAGGGUAGGCAUUCAAAUAUCAGUAGUGGAAACGUCACUUCUCUAGAUAGAUCUUCUGCAAAUCGAUCACAAAGCCCCAACCCAAGAUGAGAGCCAAGUGGAAGAAGAAGCGCAUGAGGAGGCUGAAGAGGAAACGCCGAAAGAUGAGGCAGAGAUCCAAGUAGAUGCGUCUUUCACUGGAUUAGUUUUGCCCUGGAACCCCUUGUCUUCAUGAUUUUCCAGCAUAUGUUGCCUGAUGUUGUGAAGAUAGAAGGGUGUUUUAAGGCAAGCUUAUCUGUUUCGUCUUCUGAAUCUAGGUUUAAGUUUUAAGACUGUUUGAGAUGUUAUCUAGUACUACUAGAUGUUAUGCUGGUAUUGUGUGGUUUGAUCUUUGUAAACGGUUAUCUUUGGCAUCCUAAAUGUCUGAAAUCGGAACUUUUAUUCUCUUAUAUG